UGGGAGGUAGCAUAAUGGUAAAGCAUUGGACUCUCAAGCAUGAGGUCCUGGGUUCAAUCCCCAGCAUCACAA
rnacentral:tRNA from 1 species